UUAGCCUGGUUCCUCUCUAGGUUUAUAAUCUCCACCCCUCAUAGCCUGGUUCCUCUCUAGGUUUAUAAUCUCCACCCCUCAUAGCCUGGUUCCUCUCUAGGUUUAUAAUCUCCACCCCUCAUAGCCUGGUUCCUCUCUAGGUUUAUAAUCUCCACCCCUCAUAGCCUGGUUCCUCUCUAGGUUUAUAAUCUCCACCCCUCAUAGCCUGGGUCCUCUCUAGGUUUAUAAUCUCCACCCCUCAUAGCCUGGGUCCUCUCUAGGUUUAUAAUCUCCACCCCUCAUAGCCUGGGUCCUCUCUAGGUUUAUAAUCUCCACCCCUCAUAGCCUGGUUCCUCUCUAGGUUUAUAAUCUCCACCCCUCAUAGCCUGGUUCCUCUCUAGGUUUAUAAUCUCCACCCCUCAUAGCCUGCUUCCUCUCUAGGUUUAUAAUCUCCACCCCUCAUAGCCUGGUUCCUCUCUAGGUUUAUAAUCUCCACCCCUCAUAGCCUGGUUCCUCUCUAGGUUUAUAAUCUCCACCCCUCAUAGCCUGCUUCCUCUCUAGGUUUAUAAUCUCCACCCUUCAUAGCCUGGGUCCUCUCUAGGUUUCUAAUCUCCACCCCUCAUAGCCUGGUUCGUCUCUAGGUUUAUAAUCUCCACCCCUCAUAGCCUGGGUCCUCUCUAGGUUUCUUCCUAGGUUCUGGCCUUUCUAGGGAGUUAUUCCUAGCCACCGUGCUUCUACACCUGCAUUGCUUGCUGUUUGGGGUUUUAGGCUGGGUUUCUGUACAGCACUUUGAGAUAUCAGAUGAUGUACAAAGGGCUUUAUAAAUAAAUUUGAUUUGUAAUUUAGAAUCAUUCAAGUGGUGCAGUUUGUUAGUUGCUUCCCCUUCAAGGUUCCGUAACACGACAGGGGUUUUUGUUUUGGUU